rnacentral:rRNA from 1 species
GAUUCAUAAUAACUUCUCGAAUCGCAUGGCCUUGCGCCGGCGAUGGUUCAUUCAAAUUUCUGCCCUAUCAACUUUCGAUGGCAGGGUCUUGGCCUGCCAUGGUUACAACGGGUAACGGAGGGUUAGGGCUCGACCCCGGAGAAGGAGCCUGAGAAACGGCUACUACAUCCAAGGAAGGCAGCAGGCGCGCAAAUUACCCAAUCCCGACUCGGGGAGGUAGUGACAAUAAAUACUGAUACAGGGCUCUUUUGGGUCUUGUAAUUGGAAUGAGUACAAUUUAAAUCCCUUAACGAGGAACAAUUGGAGGGCAAGUCUGGUGCCAGCAGCCGCGGUAAUUCCAGCUCCAAUAGCGUAUAUUAAAGUUGUUGCAGUUAAAAAGCUCGUAGUUGAACCUUGGGCCUGGCUGGCCGGUCCGCCUCACCGCGUGCACUGGUUCGGCCGGGCCUUUCCCUCUGGGGAACCCCAUGCUCUUCACUGAGUGUGGUGGGGAACCAGGACUUUUAC